rnacentral:rRNA from 1 species
UACGUAGGGUGCAAGCGUUAAUCGGAAUUACUGGGCGUAAAGCGUGCGCAGGCGGUUAUGCAAGACAGAUGUGAAAUCCCCGGGCUUAACCUGGGAAUGGCAUUUGGGACUGCAAGGCUCGAGUGCGGCAGAAGAGACUGGAAUUCCUGGUGUAGCAGUGAAAUGCGUAGAUAUCAGGAGGAACACCGAUGGCGAAGGCAGGUCUCUGGGCUGACACUGACGCUCAUGCACGAAAGCGUGGGGAGCAAACAGG